rnacentral:lncRNA from 1 species
GAUUGAUGGAAUUUCCAUACUGUAAGAUUAUAACAUAAAAUUAUUCAAAUUGAAGGAAUUUCCUGAUAAUUCUGCCAGCAAUUUUCUUUUUAAUUCGAUGAUUUACACUCCACCUUGAAACUGACAGAAGCGUACAUAGCAUUUCAAUCUUAAGAGAAGCUAUCCUUCAAAUAUAUUUCUGUUGCCAACCUGUACAAUUUAUGGAACUACACAUCCUGUCUUAUGUUUUUACAUUUUAUUGAUUAAAAACAAGAAUGUUACAUCAUCAGUGUUUGUUAAGCGGAAAUCUUGACAGACUCCGGGCGAAAAAUCAAUACGCUAUGCCUUAGAAUGAUGAAAGUUUCAAAAGACCAGAAAUGAACACAAUUAAUUAAAAUUUAGUGCACC